ACUGGACUGAGACACGGUCCAGACUCCUACGGGAGGCAGCAGUGGGGAAUAUUGCACAAUGGGCGCAAGCCUGAUGCAGCCAUGCCGCGUGUGUGAAGAAGGCCUUCGGGUUGUAAAGCACUUUCAGUCGUGAGGAAGGURGUGUAGUUAAUAGCUGCAUUAUUUGACGUUAGCGACAGAAGAAGCACCGGCUAACUCCGUGCCAGCAGCCGCGGUAAUACGGAGGGUGCGAGCGUUAAUCGGAAUUACUGGGCGUAAAGCGCAUGCAGGUGGUUUGUUAAGUCAGAUGUGAAAGCCCGGGGCUCAACCUCGGAAUAGCAUUUGAAACUGGCAGACUAGAGUACUGUAGAGGGGGGUAGAAUUUCAGGUGUAGCGGUGAAAUGCGUAGAGAUCUGAAGGAAUACCGGUGGCGAAGGCGGCCCCCUGGACAGAUACUGACACUCAGAUGC
rnacentral:rRNA from 2 species